rnacentral:rRNA from 1 species
CCCCUAGAUGUUCUGGGCCGCACGCGCGCUACACUGAACAGUUCAACAAGUCUUAACCUUGGCCGAUAGGUCUGGGUAAUCUUUGAACGCUGUUCGUGAUUGGGAUAGACCUUUGCAAUUAUGGGUCUUCAACGAGGAAUUCCUAGUAAACGCAAGUCAUCAGCUUGCAUUGAUUACGUCCCUGCCCUUUGUACACACCGCCCGUCGCACCUACCGAUUGAAUGGUCCGGUGAAAUCUCGGGACGGCGGCUUGGUCGCUUGCGUCCGACUGCUGAAACUUGAUUAAACCAUAUCAUUCAGAGGAAGGUGAAGUCGUAGCA